rnacentral:rRNA from 1 species
UGCGAGUCAUUGUAGCAAUACAAGGCAGACGGCUCAGUAACGCGUAGUCAAUCUACCCUAUGGACGGGAAUAACCUCGGGAAACUGAGAAUAAUGCCCGACAGAACAUUAUACCUGGAACGGUUUAUGUUUCAAAUGAUUUAUCGCCGUAGGAUGGGACUGCGGCCUAUCAGUUUGUUGGUGAGGUAAUGGCCCACCAAGACUAUUACAGGUACGGGCUCUGAGAGGAGUAGCCCGGAGAUGGGUACUGAGACACGGACCCAGGCCCUAUGGGGCGCAGCAGGCGAGAAAACUUUGCAAUGUGCGAAAGCACGACAAGGUUAAUCCGAGUGGUUUCUGCUAAAGAAACCUUUUGCUAGUCCUAGAAACACUAGUGAAUAAGGGGUGGGCAAGUUCUGGUGUCAGCCGCCGCGGUAAAACCAGCACCUCAAGUGGUCAGGAUGAUUAUUGGGCCUAAAGCAUCCGUAGCUCGUUUUGUAAGUUUUCGGUUAAAUCCAUACGCUUAACGUAUGGGCUGCCGGGAAUACUGCAUAACUAGGAAGUGKGAGAGGUAGACGGUACUCGGUAGGAAGGGGUAAAAUCCUUUGAUCUAUUGAUGACCACCUGUGGCGAAGGCGGUCUACCAGAACACGUUCGACGGUGAGGGAUGAAAGCUGGGGGAGCAAACCGGAUUAGAUACCCGGGUAGUCCCAGCUGUAAACUAUGCAAACUCAGUGAUGCAUUGGCUUGUGGCCAAUGCAGUGCUGCAGGGAAGCCGUUAAGUUUGCCGCCUGGGAAGUACGUACGCAAGUA